rnacentral:ncRNA from 2 species
CGACCCUGGGCGGGAGAGACCCCACGCAGCCGGCGUGGGGCGCCGAAGGGGCAACCUCCCCGGAACCUCUCAGGCAAAAGGACCGCUCGGGCGAG